rnacentral:rRNA from 1 species
ACCGGCGCACGGGUGAGUAUCGCGUAUACAAUCUGCCUCAUACUAGGGAAUAGCCCGAAGAAAUUUGGAUUAAUGCCCUAUAGUAUCUUUUUAAGGCAUCUUAUUAAGAUUAAAGGCUACGGUAUGAGAUGAGUAUGCGUUCUAUUAGCUAGUAGGUGUGGUAACGGCACACCUAGGCUACGAUAGAUAGGGGCCCUGAGAGGGGGAUCCCCCACACUGGUACUGAGACACGGACCAGACUCCUACGGGAGGCAGCAGUAAGGAAUAUUGGUCAAUGGACGAAAGUCUGAACCAGCCAUGCCGCGUGCAGGAUGACUGCCCUAUGGGUUGUAAACUGCUUUUAUAUAGGAAGAAAAACUUUCUCGUGAGAAAGCUUGACGGUACUAUAAGAAUAAGGAUCGGCUAACUCCGUGCCAGCAGCCGCGGUAAUACGGAGGAUCCAAGCGUUAUCCGGAAUCAUUGGGUUUAAAGGGUCCGUAGGUGGACAAAUAAGUCAGAGGUGAAAUCCUGCAUCUCAACUGUAGAACUGCCUUUGAUACUAUUUGUCUUGAGUUAUUAUGAAGUGGUUAGAAUGUGUAGUGUAGCGGUGAAAUGCAUAGAUAUUACACAGAAUACCGAUUGCGAAGGCAGAUCACUAAUAAUCAACUGACACUGAUGGACGAAAGCGUGGGUAGCGAACAGGAUUAGAUACCCUGGUAGUCCACGC